rnacentral:rRNA from 1 species
UGGGGAAUAUUGCGCAAUGGGCGGAAGCCUGACGCAGCGACGCCGCGUGGGGGAUGACGGCCUUCGGGUUGUAAACCUCUUUCGACCUUGGCGAAGCGAGAGUGACGGUAGGGGUAGAAGAAGCACCGGCCAACUACGUGCCAGCAGCCGCGGUAAUACGUAGGGUGCGAGCGUUGUCCGGAAUUAUUGGGCGUAAAGAGCUCGUAGGCGGUCUGUCGCGUCGGUCGUGAAAACCUGCAGCUUAACUGUGGGCUUGCGGUCGAUACGGGCAUGACUGGAGUUCGGCAGGGGAGACUGGAAUUCCUGGUGUAGCGGUGAAAUGCGCAGAUAUCAGGAGGAACACCGGUGGCGAAGGCGGGUCUCUGGGCCGAUACUGACGCUGAGGAGCGAAAGCGUGGGGAGCGAACAGGAUUAGAUACCCUGGUAGUCCACGCCGUAAACGGUGGGCGCUAGGUGUGGGGGCCAUUCCGCGGUCUCUGUGCCGCAGCUAACGCAUUAAGCGCCCCGCCUGGGGAGUACGGCCGCAAGGCUA